GGAAUCUUAGACAAUGGGGGAAACCCUGAUCUAGCCAUGCCGCGUGAGUGACGAAGGCCCUAGGGUCGUAAAGCUCUUUCGCCAGGGAAGAUAAUGACGGUACCUGGUAAAGAAGUCCCGGCUAACUCCGUGCCAGCAGCCGCGGUAAUACGGAGGGGACUAGCGUUGUUCGGAAUUACUGGGCGUAAAGCGCGCGUAGGCGGAUUAGUCAGUCAGAGGUGAAAUCCCAGGGCUCAACCCUGGAACUGCCUUUGAUACUGCUAGUCUUGAGUUCGAGAGAGGUGAGUGGAAUUCCGAGUGUAGAGGUGAAAUUCGUAGAUAUUCGGAGGAACACCAGUGGCGAAGGCGGCUCUCUGGCUCAUUCCUGACGCUGAGGAGCGAAAGCGUGGGGAGCGAAC
rnacentral:rRNA from 1 species